UUUACAAUCCCUCCCACUGCAAUAACAGGAGCAAUGUGGCGGAAAAGCAGGGUUCAUCACUAACAACGACCUCUUCCACUGCAUUUUCUAGUUGUUAUUACACUCGGUAGAUUUUACAUAUACUGCUCACAGCCGCCGCCGCUCUCGCGAUACUCCAUCAUCGUCAUCAUUGUUAUUUUGCAAUUUAUGAAUGUUAAUUUCCCACUGUACUUGGAAGAUUAUGUUAUAAUUUAUGUAACAGUGUACUGUGGUCUGAAAGAUUAAUGGAUGAAUUGUGAACACGUGUGGAAGAAUAAUAUACUGUUCUGGUCUGGAAGAUUAAUGGGUGAAUUGUGAACACGUGUGGAAGAAUAAUAGGAUGUUCUGGAUUUGUAUUUGAUUCUUUGUUUUGGGGUUGUUUGGAUAACUAGUAUUUGGAAUAAGUUUUAGCAAAAAAAGUUUUAGAGGAGUUUUAGCAAAGUCAAUUUUAAGUUGUGGUUCUGUUAAAAUUGGUUUACGUAAUACUUUCUUAGACGCGUCUAGGCAGCAGCCGGCUGCUGGCUAGCCUUACAUGGCAUCCUUCCAUAAAAGAUAAAUUUUUGUCCCCACAUAUAUAAAAAAAGGAAGGAAAGGGCUGGUCAGGCUGGUCCCCAGCGCACCACGGCGGGUUCACCAAAGACCCAGCAAAAACACGCUGGUCCACAAACUUUUCUCCCAAAAGGUAGUCCCUACACUACUUUUAUCCCAAAAGGUAGUCCCUACACUACUUUUCUCCCAAAAGCACAUCUUCCCUGCGCAUCUUCUUCUCCCUCCACAUCUACACGCAGCUUUUCCCUCCCCAUCUUCUUCUCCAGCAAGCAAACAAGGGGGCAGUUGCCCCAUCCCAGAUCUGAAACUUCACCAAGCAAAACAAGCAGCACAAAUCAUAGGAAUUGCAUAGCAGAACAGAAGGGUGAAGAAUCACAGAGGUUGAUGAUGAUUGACCUGAAUGAGGAACUCGAUGAAAAUAAUGGUGAUCAUGUGUACUGUACACAACAUGCUGCUGGAAAUACAGAGUUUGUUGCGGAAUCACUUAAUCCUCCUAUGAUUCAGAAAGUCAGUGUUGCUGCUGCAGAAGGAAUUUUUACAGAUGGGUACUCAAGUCUAGUGAUGGCUGCUCGAGGUAAUACACAAAUAUCUGAAGCAGUAGCUUCUGAGAGUGAUGGACAUACCCUUGAUGGCACAUUUGCACCGAGCAAUACUGGUGGGACUGUUGCUAAUGGGUUCGGUGAUGAAAAUGAUGAUGAAGCUUGGUCACAACCAAAGGAGCCUCAUGUGGGCAUGAGGUUCGACACUUUGGAAGGCGCAAAAAACCACUACAAUUCUUAUUCAUUGUAGAUUGGCUUUUCAAUAAAAAUGAAUACUUCAAGGAAAGCUGCAAAAACUGGAGAGUUGAUAAAGCAGCAGUUUGUUUGCAACAAGUUUCGAAAGCCUAAGGUCGAUGACGGAGGGGAAGAAAAUAUUCCUAUGCUAGAUGAAAUUGUUGACGAAACAAAAGAUGAUGAUCAAUAUGAGGAUAUUGUCUUCCUUGAUGAUGACAGUAAAACCAAAAAGACAACCAAGAAGCGGAAGAGACAUACAAUAUUGCAAACUGGUUGUAAAGCUAAGAUGGUUGUGAAACUAAUUGAUGGCAGAUGGGAAGUGAUCCACUUUGUUGGCAAGCACAACCAUCCAUUGGUUGGCACUAAGUAUCUGCGAUCACACCAAGGGAUCCCAGUAGAAGAAAAGAAAUUCCUUACACAUCCUCAUAACUGCAAUUUGACUACAGGUCGUAUGAUGCACAUCAUGUCAGAAUUCUAUGGGACGGAACUCAUUGUCCCUUAUACAACUAAGCACAUUACAAACCUCAAGACGGUCUUGAACCAGGAUGAUACAAAAGAAGGGGAUAUGAUAGAGACAGUUGCAUACUUUAAAGAUCAGCAGAAAGAAGAUCUAGAUUUUUUUAUAAGAUAAAGUAUGAUGAGGAGGACAGGGUUGAAAAUAUUUUCUGGGUCGAUGGUGCAUCAAGGAAGGCUUACAUGGAAUCUUAUCAUGAUUGCAUCUCCUUUGACACAACAUAUAUAACUAACAUGUACAACAUGCCCUUUGCGCCGCUGCAAAGUAAUUUUAAUAGUGCUCUUUUAUGAAGUAAAUAAAGUUUAGAUAGAAUAAAAUUUAAGAGCAUAUUAAAGUCAUUAUUGAAAUAUGGUUAUGUUAUUUUUCUGACCAACGUUGUUAAUAACAUAAUCAUGUUGCAUUAUUGGCAUAAAAGAUGCAUUUAUUUCUACCAUUUGCCCAACGGUAAUAUAGAUUUAUUUGCAUAGACAAUUGUAUGUUUAAUUUGGCCAACAUUAAAUUAUUGCAUAUGAUUGCUAUACUGACAUCACUUACAUUGUAACUUCAGGAGGUUUCCACCUAAUGAGUUGCCUCAAGGAUGUUCCUACACUCAAAGGUCAUAAUUACUCUGAGUGGAAGAAGAAAGUUGAUAUGGCUCUUGUUUGCGUUGAGGUGGACUGGGUUCUGGAGAAAUCACAGCCCGUUAAACAUUCAGAGCCAGUCAGAGACGCCAAUGAUGAUGAUGAUGCAUGGGAGAAAAAGAAGUGGGAUCAUGCCACAGUGGAGAUGUC